CUUUAUUUUAAAAAGUUUUGCUGUUUUACAGUCAGGACAGGGAUUUAUUUUGCCCAUCCUCUUCUGGGGAUGGUAGAUUCACAGGGAGCCGUGUUCUUGCAGUGCAGAGAUUGCCCCUUUAAGCAGAAAGCUGUUUGUCAGCAGCUGAAACUUUGAAGUGUUAGUCAUUGGAGUUUGGCACAUCAGUGGUGCACUGACAGCUGAGGCAUCAGAGGCACUGGGAAGUGGCAGGAAUACUGAUUCCAGCACAACUGCAUAUGGAAAGGGAAUAAGAAAUGCAGCCCAUAGAGAACUGUCAUGGAAGCUGUAUUCUGCCGGACCAAACUUUUAUUAAUGAUGCAGCCACAGGAGCUCAUUAAGCAUCUGCAGACUACUAGGAUUUUACAUAAAGCACAAACAACAGCAAGAUCCAGAUUCUGCUGCUGCUAUGGAUCAGAAAGGUCACAGGAGGCACCCGUGGGCUUAUUUAUGGGUACACAGCCAGCCUGAGCCUGAGCAAGUGCCCAAUGAAAGAACUUGGCGUUAUACCAGAUACUAAGAAAGAAAAAUCAACUCUGUCUCACCUGAACCAGGACAGUGGGAGAAUACCUGAAGAAGAGAGCUACCUCCAUGCAUCAAGUCAGGAAGACAGAAGUGCUAGACAUCUCCUGGAGAAAGAAAAGCAUUUGGAUAGGCUAAAUCUCCAGUUUGCACAGACAUGUGGCAAAUACAUAGUCCCUUGUGGAAAAUCUAGGCUGGUUCAUUGCCUUCAGAUUGCCAGUGAGGCCUGGCAAUAACACAAGCCAACUGAUGAUGAGAAUUUUGAUUGAGUCAUUCUGUUUGGCUAUAAAAGAUACCUUCAAAGAGAAUACAGUCUUGAAAGACUGCACCAGGUGUCAUCAAUAACAAAGUGAAGAUUUGCCACUGCCAGCUUAAAAUGGUUUACGCUGCAGAGCACUUACUGUUGAUAAUAAAAGGACAAAAUUAAAACA
rnacentral:lncRNA from 1 species